rnacentral:rRNA from 1 species
AUUGAACGCUGGCGGCAUGCCUUACACAUGCAAGUCGAACGGCAGCACGGGUGCUUGCACCUGGUGGCGAGUGGCGAACGGGUGAGUAAUAUAUCGGAACGUACCUUAUUGUGGGGGAUAACGCAGCGAAAGCGGUGCUAAUACCGCAUAAUCCCUCAGGGGGAAAGCGGGGGACCGUAAGGCUCCGCGCAAUUAGAGCGGCAGAUACCUGAUUUGCUAGUUGGUGAGGUAAAGACUCACCAAGGGAACGAUCAGUAGCUGGUCUGAGAGGACGACCAGCCACACUGGGACUGAGACACGGCCCAGACUCCUACGGGAGGCAGCAGUGGGGAAUUUUGGACAGUGGGCGCAAGCCUGAUCCAGCAAUGCCGCGUGCAGGAAGAAGGCCUUCGGGUUGUAAACUGCUUUUGUACGGAACGAAACGGUCCUGGUUAAUACCCGGGGCUAAUGACGGUACCGUAAGAAUAAGCACCGGCUAACUUCGUGCCAGCCGCCGCGGUAA